rnacentral:ncRNA from 1 species
AAGGUCAAGGAAGUUGGUGAACUAAUCACAGGGAAGCCGCGACCGAAGCCCCGGUGAACGGCGGUCGUAACUAUAACUGACCUAAGGUAGCGAAAUUCCUUGUUGGGUAAGCUCCGACCCGCACGAAAGGCAUAACAAUCUGGGCACUGUCUCGGAGAGAGGCUCGGUGAAAUAGACAUGUCGGUUAAGAUGCGGACUACCUGCAGCUCGACACAAAGACCCCAUGAAGCUUUACUGUUCCCUAGGAUUGUCUUUGGGCCUUUCCUGCGUAGCUUAG